GGGAUCUGAGUGAGAGCCUUUCCUUGGCUUGCCCUCCCCAUCCCUCAUCUCUGGAAUGAGGAAUCUGCCAUAAAACAUUUCAGUGACUUCCACGUGUCACUGAAAAUUAAGUGAAACUGGAAUAAAUGGCUUUGUCAACAGCACAAUCCUUAACACAGCAAAAUGAAUGUGAAAGUCAGAGUUAAAUGAGUCCCAGUGCUGUCCUCCAGUCUGCUGAGAGUACGUUUCAGAUGCUGAAGAACUGGCAACCAGCUCAAACCUACAGUGUCUUGUAUUGCAACAAUUAAUGGAUAUGAAUAGUC